rnacentral:rRNA from 1 species
UCCGGUUGAUCCUGCCGGAGGCUACCGCUAUUGGAGUUCGAUUAAGCCAUGCGAGUCGCGAGAAAUUAGAUUCUCGGCGUACCGCUCAGUAACACGUGGGUAACCUGCCCUAUGCUGGAUAAUAACCUCGGGAAACUGAGAAUAAUGAUCCAUAGUUCACUACGCCUGGAACGGUGAGUGGAUGAAAGCUCCGGCGGCAUAGGAUGGGCCUGCGGCGUAUCAGGUUGUAGGGGGUGUAACGUACCCUCUAGCCCUCUACGCGUACGGGUGUUGGGAGACAUAGCCCGGAGAUGGAUUCUGAGACACGAAUCCAGACCCUACGGGGUGCAGCAGGCGCGAAAACUUGGCAAUGCGAGAAAUCGUGACCAGGGAACUCCAAGUGCAUGGGGUAAGACCCAUGCUUUUCUUGACUCUAAAUAGGUCUUGGAAUAAGGGGUGGGUAAGGACGGUGCCAGCCGCCGCGGUAAUACCGGCGCCUCAAGUGGUAGUCGCUUUUAUUGGGCCUAAAACGUCCGUAGCCGGUCUGAUACAUUCGUGGGUAAAUCAACCAGCUUAACUGGUUGAAUUCUGCGAGGACGGUCAGACUUGGGACCGGGAGAGGUGUGGGGUACGCUCAGGGUAGGGGUAAAAUCCUGUCAUCCUGAGCGGACCACCUGUUGCGAAGGCGCCACACUAGAACGGAUCCGACGGUCAGGGACGAAGCCUAGGGGCACGAACCGGAUUAGAUACCCGGGUAGUCCUAGGUGUAAACGCUGUGGACUUGAUGUUGGGGGUGCUCCGAGCACUCUCAGUGUCGAAGCGAAGGUGAUAAGUCCACUGCCUGGGAAGUACGGUCGCAAGGCUGAAACUUAAAGGAAUUGGCGGGGGAGCACCGCAACCUGAGGAUUGUGCGGUUUAAUUGGAUUCAACGCCG